AAUGAUCUAAUUUGAUAUUAAAAAUUAUUUUGAGCGUAUUUAUGGUGUGGAUAUUCAUAAAGUCAACACAAGAAUUCAAAGAGGUAAAGAGAAAAACCGAGUGGGCAAGUCUCUUCCUAUAUCUUUGAGAAAAUAUCGCACACCAGAUGUUAAAGUAGCCUAUCUAAUAUUAGCUAAAGGAGAGUUUAAAUUCCCAGAUCUGUUCAGUAAAUAUAUAUCGAAUCCAAAUCAACCGUAAACUUUGAACAACAACAAUAAUUACAAUCAACAAAGUGUUAAUAUGAUGCAUGUGUCAAUUGUUGUUUAGUUUUGUUUGAAGAGAGAGAGUUGUAUGCUUGAA